rnacentral:rRNA from 1 species
CAUAUCAAUAAGCGGAGGAAAAGAAACUAACAAGGAUUCCCCUAGUAACGGCGAGUGAACCGGGAAAAGCUCAAAUUUGAAAUCUGGCUGUCUUCGAUAGUCCGAGUUGUAAUCUAUAGAAGCGUUUUCCGUGCUGAACUGUGUCUAAGUCCCUUGGAACAGGGUAUCAAAGAGGGUGAUAAUCCCGUACUUGACACAACCAUCAGUGCUCUGUGAUACGUUCUCUACGAGUCGAGUUGUUUGGGAAUGCAGCUCAAAAUGGGUGGUAAAUUCCAUCUAAAGCUAAAUAUUGGCGAGAGACCGAUAGCGAACAAGUACCGUGAGGGAAAGAUGAAAAGCACUUUGGAAAGAGAGUUAAACAGUACGUGAAAUUGUUGAAAGGGAAACGAUUGAAGUCAGUCGUGUUCAUUGGAUUCAGCUAGUUCUUCUAGUCUACUUCCUUUGAACGGGUCAACAUCAGUUUUGUCCGGUGGAUAAAGGAUUUAGGAAUGUGACUCCCUCGGGAGUGUUAUAGCCUAGGUUCACAUACACUGGGUGAGACUGAGGACUGCAGCUCGCCUUUUGGCCGGGGUUCGCCCACGUUCGAGCUUAGGAUGUUGACAUAAUGGCUUUAAACGACCCGUCUUGAA